rnacentral:rRNA from 1 species
GAGUAGUAUGAGGUAUGGUCUAGAAACUCAAAAAAUUUGGCGGUAUUUUAUCUUAUCAGAGGAACCUGUUUAGUAAUUGAUAUUCCACAACUUAAUUUACUUUUAUUAUAAUAUUUGUAUACCGCCGUCAUGAAUCUAUUAAAAAAUUAAUUUUAAUUUUUAUAAAAUAUAUGUUAGGUCAAGGUGCAGUCUAUGAAGUUAAUGAUGGGUUACCUUAAUAGAAUGGAUGAAAUAGGAUUUGAUAGUAAACUUAAGAGUAAUUUAAUGAAAAAAGAUUCUAAAAUAUG